rnacentral:rRNA from 1 species
UACGGAGGGUGCGAGCGUUAUCCGGAUUUAUUGGGUUUAAAGGGUGCGCAGGCGGCCUGGCAAGUCAGCUGUGAAAGUUUACGGCUCAACCGUGGAACUGCAGUUGUUACUGCUGGGCUUGAGUAUGCAUGAGGUGGGCGGAAUUUGUGGUGUAGCGGUGAAAUGCUUAGAUAUCACGAAGAACUCCGAUUGCGAAGGCAGCCCACUGGGGCAUAACUGACGCUGAUGCACGAAGGUGUGGGUAUCAAACAGG